UACAGAGGGUGCGAGCGUUAAUCGGAAUUACUGGGCGUAAAGCGCGCGUAGGCGGCUUUGCAAGUCGGGUGUGAAAUCCCCAGGCUUAACCUGGGAACUGCAUUCGAGACUGCAUUGCUAGAGUAUGGGAGAGGGAAGUGGAAUUUCCGGUGUAGCGGUGAAAUGCGUAGAUAUCGGAAGGAACAUCAGUGGCGAAGGCGGUGCUCUGGGCCGGAACUGACGCUGAGGAGCGAAAGCGUGGGGAGCAAACAGG
rnacentral:rRNA from 1 species